rnacentral:rRNA from 1 species
CAGUCGCCACGGUAAAACAGAGGGUGCGAGCGUUAAUCGGAUUUACUGGGCGUAAAGCGUGCGUAGGCGGCUUUUUAAGUCGGAUGUGAAAUCCCUGAGCUUAACUUAGGAAUUGCAUUCGAUACUGGGAAGCUAGAGUAUGGGAGAGGAUGGUAGAAUUCCAGGUGUAGCGGUGAAAUGCGUAGAGAUCUGGAGGAAUACCGAUGGCGAAGGCAGCCAUCUGGCCUAAUACUGACGCUGAGGUACGAAAGCAUGGGGAGCAAACAGGAUUAGAUACCCGAGUAGUCCCUGUCUCUUAUAC